GAUGAACGCUGGCGGCGUGCCUAAUACAUGCAAGUCGAGCGAACAGACGAGGAGCUUGCUCCUCUGACGUUAGCGGCGGACGGGUGAGUAACACGUGGAUAACCUACCUAUAAGACUGGGAUAACUUCGGGAAACCGGAGCUAAUACCGGAUAAUAUAUUGAACCGCAUGGUUCAAUAGUGAAAGACGGUUUUGCUGUCACUUAUAGAUGGAUCCGCGCCGCAUUAGCUAGUUGGUAAGGUAACGGCUUACCAAGGCAACGAUGCGUAGCCGACCUGAGAGGGUGAUCGGCCACACUGGAACUGAGACACGGUCCAGACUCCUACGGGAGGCAGCAGUAGGGAAUCUUCCGCGAUGGGCGAAAGCUUGACGGAGCAACGCCGCGUGAGUGAUGAAGGUCUUCGGAUCGUAAAACUCUGUUAUUAGGGAAGAACAAAUGUGUGAGUAACUAUGCACGUCUUGACGGUACCUAAUCAGAAAGCCACGGCUAACUACGUG
rnacentral:rRNA from 1 species